UACGAAGGGGGCUAGCGUUGCUCGGAAUCACUGGGCGUAAAGGGUGCGUAGGCGGGUCUUUAAGUCAGGGGUGAAAUCCUGGAGCUCAACUCCAGAACUGCCUUUGAUACUGAAGAUCUUGAGUUCGGGAGAGGUGAGUGGAACUGCGAGUGUAGAGGUGAAAUUCGUAGAUAUUCGCAAGAACACCAGUGGCGAAGGCGGCUCACUGGCCCGAGUACUGACGCUGAGGUGCGAAAGCGAUGGGGA
rnacentral:rRNA from 1 species